CCUAGGGUGGUAGCAGUGGGGAAGAGUGCGCAAGGGGCGAAAGCCGGACGCAGCGACGACGCGUGAGGGAUGAAGGUCUUCGGAUAGUAAACCUCUGUCAGCAGAGAAGAACGGUCACUGUGCUAAUCAGCAGUGAAUUGACGGUACCUGCAAAGGAAGCACCGGCUAACUCCGUGCCAGCAGCCGCGGUAAUACGGAGGGUGCGAGCGUUAAUCGGAAUUACUGGGCGUAAAGCGCUCGUAGGCGGUAUGUCAAGUCAAGGGUGAAAUCCCCGCGCUCAACGUGGGAACUGCCUUUGAAACUGGCAAACUGGAGUGUGUGAGAGGAUAGUGGAAUUCCAGGUGUAGGGGUGAAAUCCGUAGAUAUCUGGAGGAACAUCAGUGGCGAAGGCGACUAUCUGGCACAUAACUGACGCUGAGGAGCGAAAGCGUGGGUAGCAAACAGGAUUAGAUACCCCUGUAGUC
rnacentral:rRNA from 1 species